rnacentral:rRNA from 1 species
UACGUAGGGUGCGAGCGUUGUCCGGAAUUACUGGGCGUAAAGAGUUCGUAGGCGGUUUGUCGCGUCGUUCGUGAAAACUUGGGGCUUAACUCCAAGCGUGCGGGCGAUACGGGCAGACUUGAGUACUACAGGGGAGACUGGAAUUCCUGGUGUAGCGGUGAAAUGCGCAGAUAUCAGGAAGAACACCUAUGGCGAAGGCAGCUCUCUGGGACGGUACUGACGCUGAGACGCGAAAGCGUGGGGAGCGAACAGG